AGGUCUUUUCUAUUGCUGGUGUGAUACAGCUGCCAACAGUGCUUCAGGAACUUCAGCGGAGCCUACAUCUCACAGGCCAUCUAGUAGCACCGUGUCUCGUGCUUACUUGUACCCUGAAACUGAGAAUGAUAUCUAAAGAAAGUAAAGAAGCGUUCAAAGCAAAAGAUUUGUUCUCCACUGCCUAAGAUUAGGAAUCCAGAAGGGGGAGCAUCAGUGUCCCAGGCACUGUGUGCCAAAGCAGUGACAACAUUCAAAGGAGAGAGUCUGAACCCAUGAUCAGGCCUUACAUGUAAGAUGCAAGAACAAGACAUUAAUAGGGAGUGCUGGAAGUGACUGAGCACGAAGGAUACUUAUUCUAUAUAGCAUGAUGCUCCCCAACCCCAAAAGCUUCAGAGAACCCUAUCAAAAGGAAUUUCUGACUUGUAUAG
rnacentral:lncRNA from 1 species